CUUAAGAGGCGGAGCCGGGGCCGCUCGGCUUGUCACGGUGCUCCGGUGCGGGGCGGCCGUCGCCACCUCUUCGGCCUGCGGAGAGCUUCCCUGGGGCUCUGUGCGUCGUCCCCAGCGCAAGCCGGCUCUCCUGAUAUCUGCAAAAUGGCUGAUAAUUUGGAUGAAUUUAUUGAAGAGCGAAAAGCCAAACUGGCCAAAGAUAAAGCAGAAUUGGAAAGUGAUCCACCGUACAUGGAAAUGAAGGGAAAGGCAUCAGAGAAGUUUUCUGAAAACAGUAAACUAUUAAUCUCCAUGGCUAAGGAAAACAUACCACCAAACAGUCAACACACCAGGAGUUCUUUAGGAAUUGAUUAUGGAUUAAGUUUACCACUUGGGGAAGAUUAUGAACGGAAGAAACAUAAACUAAAAGAAGAAUUAAGGCAAGAUUACAGACGCUAUCUUACUCAGGGUAUUACACAAGCAAAAAGGAAGAAAAAUUUUCUGUCCACAAGUGAAGCAGAUCCAUCUACUCUUGGAGUUUCUCUUCCUAUUGAUGAGAGGCUAUCUGCCAAGGAAAGGUUGAAACUUGAACGCAACAAGGAAUACAAUCAAUUUCUCAGGGGUAAGGAGGAAUCCACUGACAGGUUCAGACAGGUAGAAAAGAGUAGUACCGAGCAGAAGAAUCAAAGAAAUAAAAAACCUAUUUGUCAGGGUAAGCCUGAUUUAUCUUCACAAAUACAGACAUCUUGUGAAAAUUCAGGGGGUCUUGGAAGAAAUGUCUUAACUCCUUCGGAGGCAUAUGAAGAGCUUCUAAACCAAAGAAGACUGGAGGAAGACAGAUAUCGACAACUAGAUGAUGACAUUGAAUUAAGGAAUAGAAGAAUCAUUAAAAAAACUAAUGAAGAAGUGGGCAUACCCAAUAAAAAACAUCAAAGGUUUGCCAACAAAGCUGACAUUCCAGAUAGAAGAUUUCGCAGGUUUAAUGACGAUCGUGUUUUUGAUAGACAGUAUUAUAAACCAGAUCAAGAUCCUGAAGUAAGUGAAGAAAUGGACGAGAGGUUUAGAUAUGAAAGUGAUUUUGAUAGAAGACUUUUGAGAGUGUAUACAAAUGACAGGAUGUACGGGAACAGACGAGGGAAUGUGCCUCCUAAGGACUAUGGUGGUGAUGUCACAGAGCAGUCAAACAUACGCAUUUCAUCUGCUGGAAAUAAAAGUGCUCGAGACAAUGAACCAUCCAAAUCUACUAACCGAGAGAUCUGUAGUCCUUUUGCGGGAAUGCUCUUUGGAGGUGAAGAUCGAGAACUUAUUCAGAGAAGGAAAGAGAAAUAUAGACUAGAACUGUUGGAACAAAUGGCUGAACAACAGAAGAACAAGAGACGAGAAAAAGAUAUGGAACUCAGCGUUGCAGCUUCUGGAGUACGAGACCCUGAGAAAUCGCCUGAUAGACUAAAGCAGUUUAGUGUGGCACCAAGACACUUUGAAGAGAUGAUACCACCUGAAAGACCCAGAGUAGCUUUCCAGACGCCUCUCCCUCCUUUAUCUGCCCCAUCUGCCCCACCCAUCCCAUCAAUUCACUCCAUCCCAUCUCAAAAUGAAGAUUUGCACAAUGGAUCCAGCUGCACCCUUGGUGAAAUGGUGCCUCCCAGGAUUGCACCUCUGCCACCUCCUCCCCUGCUACCACCUCUGGCUACUAACUAUCGUACUCCUUAUGAUGAUGCAUACUAUUUUUAUGGGGCCAGGAAUACUUUGGAUCCCAGUCUUGCUUAUUAUGGUUCAGGAAUGAUGGGAGUACAGCCUGCAGCUUAUGUUAGUGCUCCUGUCACCCACCAGCCAGCACAGCCUAUUAUGAAUAUGGUUGGACAGAAUGAACUGAAAAUUACAAGUGAUCGAGCAAUAAAUUCAGGAUUGUUUUUUGAAGAUAAACCAAAGCCUUCAAAACAGUCACUUCAGUCUUACCAAGAAGCUUUGCAGCAACAGAUUCGGGAAAGAGAAGAAAGAAGAAAGAGAGAACGUGAAGAAAAAGAAGAAUAUGAAGCUAAAUUAGAAGCUGAAAUGAAAAGUUACAACCCCUGGGGAAAAGGUGGAGGUGGUGCUCCUCUGAGAGAUGCAAAAGGAAAUCUGAUAACUGAUUUGAAUAGGAUGCACAGACAAAAUAUAGAUGCCUACCAUAACCCAGAUGCAAGAACAUAUGAAGAUAAAAGGGCUGUUGUAUCUCUAGACCAAAAUUUAGCCACCUCAAAUGCUGAGAACCUAGAAGAUUCUACAAAUAAAAACUCAGGUUACAUGCAAACACAGAGCUCUCCUUUUGCUCGGGGAAAUAUAUUUUGUGAGCCUCCAACUGAACUUCAGAUUAAACAGCAAGAAUUAUACAAGAAUUUUCUUCGUUUUCAGAUUGAGGAAAAGAAACAAAGAGAGGAAGCAGAGCGAGAGAGACUGAGAAUUGCAGAAGAAAAAGAAGAAAAACGACUUGCAGAACAGAGAGCACGAAUUCAACAAGAGUAUGAAGAGGAACAGGAAAAGAAAAGGGAGAAAGAGGAGGAGCAAAGGCUAAAAAAUGAAGAGCUUAUUCGGUUAGCUGAAGAAAGACGAAAAGAAGCAGAAAGAAAGAAAAAAGAAGAGGAAGAAAAACAUAAUCUGCAGCUUCAGCACUACUAUGCAAGAGAAAAUAUAAUUGGGGAAGAAACAAAGCGCUUGAGACAGCCUUCUCCUGUAGUUCCUGCUCUUCAGAACAAAAUAGCAAGCAAACUUCAAAGACCUCCUUCAGUUGACAGCAUUAUAAGUUCCUUUAUUCAGGAAAGUUCCAUGUCCAGGGCACAGUCUCCUCCGGUACCUGCCAGGAGAAACCAGCUACGUGCAGAAGAGGAGAAAAAAAAUGUAAUUAUGGAGUUAUCAGAAAUGAGAAAACAGCUUCGUAGCGAAGAGCGGCGUCUGCAAGGCCGGUUGCUACACAUGGACAGUGAUGAUGAAAUUCACAUAAGGAAAAGAGAAAGGAAUCCCAUGGAUAUAUUUGACAUGGCUAGGCAUCGGCUGCAAGCUCCUGUCAGAAGACAGUCACCUAAGGGCUUAGAUGCUACUACUUUUCAGAAUAUUCAUGACUUCAAUGAGCUGAAAGAUAGAGAUUCAGAAACACGAGUUGAUCUGAAAUUCAUGUACCCGGAUCCUCCAAGAGAUCACCACACCUUGGAGAUUCAGCAGCAAGCCCUACUAAGAGAGCAGCAGAAGAAACUGAAUAAAAUAAAGAUGCAAGAAGGUGCUGAAGUUGACUUGGAUGCCAUCCCAAGUGCUAAAGUACGGGACCACAGAAUGUCCAGAGAAGACUCUGAUGAUUUCUUGAAAACUUCAUUAUUGGAAUCUGACAGUGCUUUUAUUGGUGCUUAUGGCGAGACAUAUCCUGCCAUUGAAGAUGACAUCCUCCCUCCACAGGGAGCUCCCUCUGCAAGGGAGCGCAGGAGGAACAAACUGAAAGGACUGGACUUUGAUAACAGUCAUCCUAAUGUGCCACCAGAUGGUCUCUCUUUAAAAUCGGUGUCCAGCAUAAAUAUUGAUCAGCUUAGAAUGAAAAAUGAGGAACGGAUGCGAAGACUGAAUGAAAUUCAGAAUAAACCAGUUAAUACAGAUGAUGAGAGCUCACUGGUCGACCCUGAUGACAUGAAGCACAUGGGGGACGAUGGCUCAGACUCUGCAGCAGCCGAGCCCUGGCUGCGCCCAGAUGCCACUGUACCACACAAUUGAACUAACUCCUAGGACACACAGUACCCCAAAUGGGACGUCUGCUCUUCUUCACAAACGCUCUACCUACUCUGAGUCAACAAGCCCAUGGUGAACUUCUCCUAAAGAACUUCAAGGGGAAAGAGAGCCAGGAUGUCUGAGAGAAGGAAAGGAGCAUGGGUCCUCAGCUCAGGAUGGUAGGGGAGCAAGCACUCUGCUUCAGUAAAAGGAUAACUCAAAGAGAAUUGGGAACCAUCCUCUGACCCACACCCGGUCUUCAGGUGCCACAUUCAUAUCAUCACUUGUGUACUCCUUGAAAGCCUUCAAGAAGAAAGAUGGACAAAAUCCAGGAGAUCUUAUGACAUCUCUGAAGAUACAGGCAUACCUCGGAGAAACUGUUUGGGUCCAGACUACCACAAUAAAGUUACUGGUCAAGUCAUUGUUCCAAAACAAAAAUCUGCUACUGCUGCUGCUGCUGCUUCUCUGACUAAAAUCUUUCAAUACAUAGCAGGCCAAAGUGAAGAAGACAAGACAAAAACUUAUUUACAAGGAGAAUCUGGAAUCUGGAUCCAAUUCAAUGCUCUUGUUUCAUCUCCUUCGAGUACCUGCCUCUGCCAUGCUGCCCAACAGUCCUCAGACAUUCCUCCCUCCUGUGCUACUGCACAGGUCAUUCUUGUUGUCUGCAAUGUCCUUACUUGUCCUGUCUGAAUGAUUCCUGUCAAGUCCUAAUUCAUACCAUAAAUUAA